AUAAAUCUUAGCCCUUAAAACCGCUUAAUCGUGCGGUUUAAAAUAAAUCCGCUGCCCAAUUUUAAUUACCACAAAUAUUGUUCGAAAUUACAUUUUAAAUAGAAUAAGGGCAUUUUGGUAUCUGUGCAAAUCAUUAAAAACUGCAACCACCGGAUUUUACUCUCAUUUACCGCAUUUCAUCCCCCCCAACAUUUACUGCCAACCUAAUCGAUUCAAAAUCCGAUUUGAGGUUCCGAGGAGAUUUCGACGCAACAAAUCCAAUUGAAGGUGGGUAAUCAUCCGAUUUGAGGUUCCAAGGAGAUUUCGACGCAACAAAUCCGAUUGAAGAAUCGUCGGCGACUUGUUCGUAAAGGGUUGGGUUUUGAAGAUCUGCUGAAAUCGAACGGACCAACUUCGAUUGCAGAAGAAAAAAAAACGGUCAUCGUUUCAAUCGUCGGCAUCUGCGACGAACGCGGCAGUCGCUCGCUGACUUUACGUGACGGGCUUGUCGAAGCACACGACUGCUGCCGCUGCUGGUUCGAGCGCGCAUCCUGGCGCCGCAGCACCCCGUGCUUGCUGCCCAUCUCGCUGAUCAAGGUGAGGAUUUCAGUUGGCAUUUUUUUUGGCACUUUCAUGGAAUUAUAAUUCUGGGCAAAUCAACCACAUGAACAAGUUUAAAUUGAAUUUACUUUGACAACUUAGUUAAAUGCGAACUACACAAUAUAUGUUUGUUGAAAGUUCAAAACCGAAAUCAUAAGACCUCAUUUCCAACUUCAAUAUACUCUGGUUUUGAUUGCAUAUUCGUUUUGGGUUUGUAGAACAAUCAAUAAUAUUCUAUUAAUGAUCUCCAAAUUUUCCAUUGUAAUAAUCAAAUGUUGUUUCGUUGAAUUCUUUUAAGUUUGUUGGAAAAAGAAGGUUUCACCAAUAUAUCAGUUCAUAAAGCUUUGAGUUGUUGCUUUGCCACCCGUUCGAAAUAUUUGUCGGAUUGUUCAAUUCAUUCUCCAUGUUUGUUCAAAAUGUUUAUUGCGAAAUUAUUAUUUGAUAAACAUCUUAUUUGUUUUUUUGUCAUGUGUUCUAAAUAUUUCUUUGGUUGUUCAAUUUGUUCUCCAUAUUUGUUCAAAAUAUAUUUUGCGAAAUUAUUUUUUGAUAGACUUCCUAUUGCGAGAUAUCAUUGUCGUCAUCCGAUCCGAGCCCCAAGACGUUGGAAACAUACUGAAGGCAGAUGAAUAGCUGAUGCUGGUGGUGGAGCACGCAAGCGGUGCAGAUCGCGGAUAAUACGCCCAGGUGGGGGAUGCAGUGGACGAGGAUCGGGGCCAACAAACAAAAUGCAUAAUUCCCGAUCCGUCAUGAA